UACGUAGGGUGCAAGCGUUAAUCGGAAUUACUGGGCGUAAAGCGUGCGCAGGCGGUUAUGUAAGACAGGUGUGAAAUCCCCGGGCUUAACCUGGGAAUUGCAUUUGUGACUGCAUGGCUAGAGUUUGGCAGAGGGGGGUAGAAUUCCACGUGUAGCAGUGAAAUGCGUAGAUAUGUGGAGGAAUACCGAUGGCGAAGGCAGCCCCCUGGGUCAAGACUGACGCUCAUGCACGAAAGCGUGGGGAGCAAACAGG
rnacentral:rRNA from 1 species